GAUAUGGCCUAUCACAGGGCGAGCCGCUCAUAGCUGUUCGAAAGAUGAUACGCAACUUGACUGGGACCGGUCCAGACUUCUACGGAAGCAGCAGUGGGAAUAUGACAAUUGGGGCAACUGAUCCAGGCAAUGCGGCGUGAGUGAUGAAGCUCGGGUGUAAGCUUCUUUUUGUAGGGACGAUGAUGACGGUACCUAACGAAUAAGCUCCGGCUAACUUCGUGCCAGCAGCGCGGUAUACGAAGGGAGCUAGCGUGUUCGGAAUACUGGGCGUAAAGGGCGCGUAGGCGGUUUGAUAAGUUGGUGUGAAAGCCCUGGGCUUAACCUAGGAAUAGCAUUGAAUACUGUCAGGCUAGAGGCCGAGAGAGGGAAAUGGAAUUGCGAGUGUAGAGGUGAAAUUCGUAGAUAUUCGCAAGAACACCAGUGGCGAAGGCGAUUUCCUGGCUCGGUACUGACGCUAAGGCGCGAAAGCGUGGGGAGCAAACAGGAUUAGAUACCCUGGUAGUCCACGCUGUAGACGAUGAAUGCUAGAUGUUGGUUGAGAGAUCAAUCAGUGUCGUCGCUAACGCAAUAAGCAUUCCGCCUGGGGAGUACGGUCGCAAGAUUAAAACUCAAAGGAAUUGACGGGGACCCGCACAAGCGGUGGAGUAUGUGGUUUAAUUCGAAGCAACGCGCAGAACCUUACCAGCUUUUGACAUGGAAAGUAUGAGAGUUAGAGAUAACUUUCUUCAGUUCGGCUGGCUUUCACACAGGUGCUGCAUGGCUGUCGUCAGCUCGUGUCGUGAGAUGUUGGGUUAAGUCCCGCAACGAGCGCAACCCUUAUUGCUAGUUGCCAUCAGGUAGGGCUGGGCACUUUAGCGAAACUGCCGGUGAUAAGCCGGAGGAAGGUAGGGAUGACGUCAAGUCCUCAUGGCCCUUAUAGGCUGGGCUACACACGUACUACAAUGGCGGUGACAGAAGGCAGCGACGGAGUAAUCCUGAGCGAAUCCCAAAAAACCGCCUCAGUUCGGAUUGUCCUCUGCAACUCGAGGACAUGAAGUCGGAAUCGCUAGUAAUCGUAGAUCAGCAUGCUACGGUGAAUACGUUCCCGGGUCUUGUACACACUGCCCGUCACACCAUGGGAGUUGGUUUUACCUUAAGGCGGUGAGCUAACCCGAAAGGGAGGCAGCUGACCACGGUAGGAUCAGUGACUGGGGUGAAGUCGUAACAAGGUAACCA
rnacentral:rRNA from 1 species